UUUAUGCUGGCGGUCGCUGCGAUCAGUCCCGCGACGUUCAUCAUUUUCCCUCCGGUCCAGUUUGAAAGCCAGGUCGUCAGAGAAGGAUCACGGUUAAUCUCGCGAUCUUUUGGAAGUUCCGUUGGGGAAGAUGGCGGCGGCCGCGAGCACCCUUCUCUUCUUGCCGCCGGGGACUUCAGACUGAGUCUUCCCUGGAAGAGUGGGACUGCAGGUGCCCUGCGUCCCGGGAGCCCGAACCAACUUGGUUCCUCCAUUACUGGUGGGGAAGGGCAUAUCCUCUUGUGUAGGACUUAGGCCCUCCCCGCCGUCAGGAUGAAGGCUCAGGGGGAAACCGAGGAGUCGGAAAAGCUGAGUAAGAUGAGUUCUCUCUUGGAACGGCUCCAUGCAAAAUUUAACCAAAAUAGACCUUGGAGUGAAACCAUUAAGCUUGUGCGUCAAGUCAUGGUGAGGAUUAUGGUGAAGUAGAUAAAGUGUU